UGAUACACUUUUAACUUUUCUUCUGGUUAAUAUUCGAUGCGACAUCGUUCGUUAAUCUGCCUUAUUUUGGAUAGUUGGGUUGACCCGACCCGUAAUUAUCCCCAGCAAUCUUAAACCCUAAAAAGUCAAGUCCAAUCUCAAUCAAUCUGACUUUUCACCUCACUCCGUGCCGAUGGCGUCCUCUAAAGUCUGCAGAUUAUCAUCGAAGAUACACUCUUUAACCCAGAGGCUUAGCAAGACGACGAAUGUUCACGCCUCGUCCAUACCCUCUCCCAUCAAAUCUUCAUUACCAUCGGCAGCAACUUCCCGUAUCAACCAAUCUUUCAGAAGAUUACCAGUGGAGCUGAGUAGCUGUGUGUCGCUGUUUCCGCUACACAGUGCAGUAGCAUCUGCGAGAUUGGUAUCAAGCUUGUCUGCUGAAUCUGUGAGCUGGGGUUUAGUUCCUCAAGGUAUUUCAAUGCCUUUAUGACAGUCUUUCAUCUUACAACAAGUUUCACUAGGGCGAUAAAAGACAUGAGAACAAAACUCUGGGAUGUAUCGUUUCUUUUUUUUUUUAAUCUCUUAUUGAAUCCGAAAGAUCCUGAAUUUUGGACAGGUUUAUCCUCAAAACUCUGCUUCAAGUCUCGAGCUAUCUUUUUUGCCUAAUAUACAAUUCAUGGUUAUCAACAAUUGAGUGUGUAUCAGUGUCAUUUUAUUUGGCAAGAUUGUAGUUUUCAUGCAAA